AGAGUUUGAUCCUGGCUCAGGACGAACGCUGGCGGCGUGCCUAACACAUGCAAGUCGAACGGAACUGUUUUGAAAGAUUUCUUCGGAAUGAAUUUGAUUUAGUUUAGUGGCGGACGGGUGAGUAACGCGUGAGUAACCUGCCUUCAAGAGGGGGAUAACAUUCUGAAAAGAAUGCUAAUACCGCAUGAUAUAUCGGAACCACAUGAUUUUGAUAUCAAAGAUUUUAUCGCUUGAAGAUGGACUCGCGUCCGAUUAGUUAGUUGGUGAGGUAACGGCUCACCAAGACCGCGAUCGGUAGCCGGACUGAGAGGUUGAACGGCCACAUUGGGACUGAGACACGGCCCAGACUCCUACGGGAGGCAGCAGUGGGGGAUAUUGCGCAAUGGGGGCAACCCUGACGCAGCAACGCCGCGUGAAGGAUGAAGGUUUUCGGAUUGUAAACUUCUUUUAUUAAGGACGAAAAUUGACGGUACUUAAUGAAUAAGCUCCGGCUAACUACGUGCCAGCAGCCGCGGUAAUACGUAGGGAGCAAGCGUUGUCCGGAUUUACUGGGUGUAAAGGGUGCGUAGGCGGCUUUGCAAGUCAGAUGUGAAAUCUAUGGGCUCAACCCAUAAACUGCAUUUGAAACUGUAGAGCUUGAGUGAAGUAGAGGCAGGCGGAAUUCCCCGUGUAGCGGUGAAAUGCGUAGAGAUGGGGAGGAACACCAGUGGCGAAGGCGGCCUGCUGGGCUUUAACUGACGCUGAGGCACGAAAGCGUGGGUAGCAAACAGGAUUAGAUACCCUGGUAGUCCACGCUGUAAACGAUGAUUACUAGGUGUGGGGGGACUGACCCCUUCCGUGCCGCAGUUAAC
rnacentral:rRNA from 1 species